rnacentral:rRNA from 1 species
GACGAACGCUGGCGGCGUGCUUAACACAUGCAAGUCGAACGGUGAAGGUGGAGCUUGCUCCGCUGGAUCAGUGGCGAACGGGUGAGUAACACGUGGGCAACCUGCCCCUGACUUCGGGAUAACUCCUCGAAAGUGGUGCUAAUACCGGAUACGAAUCCUGCAGGCAUCUGCGGGAUUGGAAAGUUUUUCGGUCAGGGAUGGGCCCGCGGCCUAUCAGCUUGUUGGUGAGGUAGUGGCUCACCAAGGCGACGACGGGUAGCCGGCCUGAGAGGGCGACCGGCCACACUGGGACUGAGACACGGCCCAGACUCCUACGGGAGGCAGCAGUGGGGAAUAUUGCGCAAUGGGCGAAAGCCUGACGCAGCAACGCCGCGUGAGGGAUGACGGCCUUCGGGUCGUAAACAGCUUUUGUAUACGAAGAAUAUGACGGUAAUAUACGAAUAAGGGUCGGCUAACUACGUGCCAGCCGCCGCGGUAA